UCCUCCCACCCUGCCCACAGACUGUUUGCCCUCCUGCCCUCCGGUAGGCGCUUCAGAAGCCUCCGGACCAGAACCAGUAGACUGAGGAACAGCUUUUUCCCCAGAGCUGUCUCUCUACUGAACUCUGCCCCCCGAACUCUGAACUCUGUCUCCCUCCUGAACUCCGACCCCCGCUGACCCCCCUUCCCCUACACAUCACCUCACACCCAUCAUCCCCCCACCACUCCUCCUGGUCAUACACACACACAUCUCUCAUCCACCUGUAUUAUUAUAUUAUAACGUUAUCCAAAUAUGUCCAUAUUCUGUAUAUUAUCUGUAAACUAGUAUAGCAUGCUCACUGCACCUUAAUCUGUAUAUUAUAAUCUGAAGAAUAUACUUAUAUUUAUAGCAUUUAUUUAUAUUUAUAGCAUCCCAUUAAUCCAGCCAUAUAUACCCAAUAAUUCACUUUUUUUAGUCUACAUCUGUAAAUUCUGUAAUUACUUGUACAUAGCACAGAUUCUUGCACUUUCUGCUUAUUUGCACUUCUGGUGAGAUGCCAAACCUCAUUUCGUUACUCUAUACUUGUAUAUGUGUAAUGACAAUAAAGUUGAAUCUCAUCUCA